UCGACGGUAACAGGGAGAAGCUUGCUUUUCCGCUGACGAGUGGCGCACGGGUGCGUAACGCGUAUACAAUCUACCUUUUGCUGUGGGAUAGCCCAGGGAAACUUGGAUUAAUACCGCAUAGUAUAUAAGAUCGGCAUCGUUUCUAUAUUAAAGGUUACGGCAAAAGAUGAGUAUGCGUCCUAUUAGCUAGAUGGUGUGGUAACGGCACACCAUGGCGACGAUAGGUAGGGGCCCUGAGAGGGGGAUCCCCCACACUGGUACUGAGACACGGACCAGACUCCUACGGGAGGCAGCAGUGAGGAAUAUUGGGCAAUGGAGGCAACUCUGACCCAGCCAUGCCGCGUGCAGGAAGACUGCCCUAUGGGUUGUAAACUGCUUUUAUACGGGAAGAAACACCGCUACGUGUAGCGGCUUGACGGUACCGUAAGAAUAAGGAUCGGCUAACUCCGUGCCAGCAGCCGCGGUAAUACGGAGGAUCCAAGCGUUAUCCGGAAUCAUUGGGUUUAAAGGGUCCGUAGGUGGAUAAUUAAGUCAGAGGUGAAAUCCUGCAGCUCAACUGUAGAAUUGCCUUUGAUACUGGUUGUCUUGAGUCAUUGUGAAGUAGUUAGAAUAUGUAGUGUAGCGGUGAAAUGCAUAGAUAUUACAUAGAAUACCGAUUGCGAAGGCAGAUUACUAACAAUGUACUGACGCUGAUGGACGAAAGCGUGGGGAGCGAACGGGAUUAGAUACCCUGGUAGUCCACGCCGUAAACGAUGGUCACUAGCUGUNCGGACUUCGGUCUGAGUGGCUAAGCGAAAGUGAUAAGUGACCCC
rnacentral:rRNA from 1 species